GACGAACGCUGGCGGCGUGCUUAACACAUGCAAGUCGAGCGGAAAGGCCCUUCGGGGUACUCGAGCGGCGAACGGGUGAGUAACACGUGAGUAACCUGCCCUGGACUUUGGGAUAACCCUCGGAAACGGGGGCUAAUACCGGAUAUUACUUCCUCUCGCAUGGGGGGGUGGUGGAAAGUUUUUCGGUCUGGGAUGGGCUCGCGGCCUAUCAGCUUGUUGGUGGGGUGAUGGCCUACCAAGGCGACGACGGGUAGCCGGCCNGAGAGGGCGACCGGCCACACUGGGACUGAGACACGGCCCAGACUCCUACGGGAGGCAGCAGUGGGGAAUAUUGCACAAUGGGGCGAAGCCUGAUGCAGCGACGCCG
rnacentral:rRNA from 1 species